CGGACGGGUGAGUAAUGCUUGGGAAUCUAGCUUAUGGAGGGGGGUAACUACGGGAAACUGUAGCCAAUACCGCGUAAUAUCGAAAGAUUAAAGUGUGGGACCUUCGGGCCACAUGCCAUAGGAUGAGCCCAAGUGGGAUUAGGUAGUUGGUGAGGUAAAGGCUCACCAAGCCGACGAUCUCUAGCUGGUCUGAGAGGAUGACCAGCCACACUGGGACUGAGACACGGCCCAG
rnacentral:rRNA from 1 species